AGUGAACGCUGGCGGUAGGCCUAACACAUGCAAGUCGAACGGCAGCACAGUAAGAGCUUGCUCUUACGGGUGGCGAGUGGCGGACGGGUGAGGAAUACAUCGGAAUCUACUUUUUCGUGGGGGAUAACGUAGGGAAACUUACGCUAAUACCGCAUACGACCUACGGGUGAAAGCAGGGGAUCUUCGGACCUUGCGCGAUUGAAUGAGCCGAUGUCGGAUUAGCUAGUUGGCGGGGUAAAGGCCCACCAAGGCGACGAUCCGCAGCUGGUCUGAGAGGAUGAUCAGCCACACUGGAACUGAGACACGGUCCAGACUCCUACGGGAGGCAGCAGUGGGGAAUAUUGGACAAUGGGCGCAAGCCUGAUCCAGCCAUACCGCGUGGGUGAAGAAGGCCUUCGGGUUGUAAAGCCCUUUUGUUGGGAAGGAAAAGCAGCAGGUUAAUACCCCGCUGUUCUGACGGUACCCAAAGAAUAAGCACCGGCUAACUUCGUG
rnacentral:rRNA from 1 species